GUGGUGCAGCUUUGGGAGGAGUGAAGAGCCUGCUUGUUCCUGUUGGUUCAGUAUGGUUUUACAAGGAGGACUGGGACCCUUAAGGACCUUUGAGAUUGAAGACACACAGCAGAUGGAAAAGGAAUGAGCAGCCUGUGCAGAAGCUGCAAGUGCAGACCUUGGGCUCUACACAUUUCAUGUCAGUGCAUCCCCAGUGCCUCUGGCAGAGCUGCUCUGGGUUUCCAUCAGCGUGCAUGAAGAGAAGCAGGGACUGUCACAGGAGAUGACAGGGGGUCAAUUCCCAUAUUUCCAUCUGGCUUUGAAGCUGUGUCUGUGACUGAUCUGAAUGUAGUAAAGCAUGAUUUAUACUGGAGAAGGAGAGGGGAGAAUUGAGUGCAACAAGCUGCAUGCUCCAAUGAAAAAAAGGCCACUGGAGAAGGAGACAGUGCAAGGAGGAAAAGGCCUCUGUGAUUCUGUCUUUGCAGGUCCCUCAGGCAACAUAACCGUAAACAGUCUCUUCAAAAAAUAUGAAUAUUAUGCUCCUUUCUGACCCCUCCCCCCCCCCCCCCCAAUUUCCUUCUGUCUUUACAAGUAGCUGAAGAAGAUAAAUAUUUAAUGACUUAUUUCAAUAUUUUAAUGUAGGUUUCUUGGUUAAAACACCACAAAUCUCUGCUUGAAAGGGCAACAAUAGAAUUAUGUAGUAAUGA